rnacentral:rRNA from 1 species
AUUGAACGCUGGCGGCAUGCCUUACACAUGCAAGUCGAACGGCAGCACGGGUGCUUGCACCUGGUGGCGAGUGGCGAACGGGUGAGUAAUACAUCGGAACGUACCUUAUCGUGGGGGAUAACGCAGCGAAAGCUGUGCUAAUACCGCAUACGCCCUGAGGGGGAAAGCGGGGGAUCGCAAGACCUCGCGCGAUUAGAGCGGCCGAUGCCUGAUUAGCUAGUUGGUGGGGUAAAAGCCCACCAAGGCGACGAUCAGUAGCUGGGCUGAGAGUACGUGCAGCCAAACUGGGACUGAGACACGGCCCGGACUCCUACGGAAGGCAGCAGUGGGGAAUUUUGGACAAUGGGGGCAACCCUGAUCCAGCAAUGCCGCGUGAGUGAAGAAGGCCUUCGUGUUGUAAAGCUCUUUUGUCAGGGAAGAAACACCGGCUCUAACACAGUCCGGGAAUGACGGUACCUGAAGAAUAAGCACCGGCUAACUACGUGCCAGCCGCCGCCGUAA